rnacentral:rRNA from 1 species
GGGUUGUCAUGCCAAUGGCACUGCCCGGUAGCUAAAUGCGGAAGAGAUAAGUGCUGAAAGCAUCUAAGCACGAAACUUGCCCCGAGAUGAGUUCUCCCUGAGACUUUAAGUCUCCUGAAGGAACGUUGAAGACGACGACGUUGAUAGGCCGGGUGUGUAAGCGCAGCGAUGCGUUGAGCUAACCGGUACUAAUGAACCGUGAGGCUUACCCUUACAACGCCGAAG